rnacentral:rRNA from 1 species
CGGCUGAACCAGCAACUUGGAAGAAUGUAUAGCAAUAGCUAAUUGCAUUGAUAAAUAAUCAGUGUAAGAUCGACUAUGUCGAAUAAAGUUCUAGGUAAAAUUAUGAUAAUGACAUUAUUUAUCUAUGUGUCUUGGCUAAAUUACGUGCCAGCAGCCGCGGUAAUACGUAGUAGACUUGUGUUAUUCAUCUUUAAUAGGUUUAAAGGGUACCUAGACGGUAAAUCAAGCCUGCAAAAGGGACUAGUAUACUAGAGUUUAAUAUGAGGAAGUAUUAAAGUACUGUUGGUGUAGAGAUGGAAUUCGAUGAUACUAAACAUGGCACAGAUAUAGGCGAAAGCAUCUUCUUAUGUAAUAACUGACGUUGAGGGACGAAGGCUUUGUGUCUCGAUUAGGAUUAGAUACCCUAGUAGUCUAAGCAGAAAAUUAUGAGUGUCAUAGGCUAGAUUUUUUUUUGUCUAUAAAUGAAAGUGUAAGCAUUCCACCUCAAGAGUAAUUUGGCAACAUUGGAACUGAAAUCAUUAGACCGUUUCUGAAACCAGUAGUGAAGUAUGUUGUUUAAUUUGAUGAUCCGCAAAAAACCUUACCACAAUUUGAAUGUUUGUAAAGCUUUUUAGAAAAACAUUUUGAGAUAUAAGUAUUUUGAGAGAGGCUUUAUAGAUACAAGCGUUGCACGGCUGUCUUCAGUUAAUGUCGUGAGAUUUUGGUUAGUUCCAUUAAAUUAACGUAAACCCGUACUUUAUUUAUCUAUAAAGUAGUUCGCCGCUAUAUUGGAAAAUGAUAAUAGGGGCUAAGACAAGUCAUCAUGGCCUUA